rnacentral:rRNA from 1 species
UACGGAGGGUGCAAGCGUUGUUCGGAUUUACUGGGCGUAAAGCGUGUCUAGGUGGAUCGGCAAGUCUGAUGUGAAAUCCCCCGGCUUAACCGGGGAGGGUCAUUGGAUACUAUCGAUCUUGAGUGUCGGGGAGGUGAGUGGAAUUCCCAGUGUAGAGGUGAAAUUCGUAGAGAUUGGGAGGAACACCGGAGGCGAAAGCGGCUCACUAACCGACUACUGACACUGACACACGAAAGCGUGGGUAGCAAACAGG